ACAGGCAUGCACCACCACACCGAGCUAAUUGUACUUUAGAGACGGGGUUUCACCAUAUUGGCCAGGCUUGUCUCGAACUCCUGACCUUAAGGGCUCUGCCCAACUAUGUCUCCCAAGUGCUGAAUUACAGGCGUGAGCCACCAUGCUCAGCCAGUUCCACCUGAUUUUUAAAAUUGCCUUGGCCAGCAUUGGAUACACAGUAAAUAUUUAGUAAAUGCUUUCCACAUUGAAUCAAAGAAGUUUCCCAUCUUAGCUAUUUCCUUGAAACUUUCCCGAAGUUUGAAACCUAAUAGAUCAUCAGUGACAUCCUCUUCAUCAGUUUCACCUCUGCCUAAUAAAGCACAAAUUACUCUUAAGCAAUGAGGCGCUGUGCAAUUGAAGCCUUUUAUAGCUCCAUUUGUCUGCAGUCACCUAAAAGUCAAUGGAUAGAUGUGUUUGUCAUAAUGUGUGAUAAGUGCAAAUAACCCUUGUUAGUAGUGUCGUUAGAGAUGAAAUAGAUGCAUAGGAACUAAGAGGUCAUAAGCUGUCAGGUUUUACUGUAAGGAAAUACAGAAUGUCAUUUGCACCUGAAAAUGUACAGAAGUAAAUGGACAGUUCUUCACCACAAUCUAAUUUGUUUUUCAAAGCUUUGCAUGUUUACAUUUGUUCACCCACUACCUUAGUCAUGGCAUAGCAAAAUAAACCAUAAAUUAAAAGUAGCUCAGUAUACCACUGAAGAAGUCAAUAGAUCUGAAUAUAGUAGCGUAGAAAAAGCAGCUUCAGUUUACUGGAUGUGCCUUCAAGGCAGACCAUGCCCUUUAGGUAGAGGAUUAGUGGAGAACAGAAAUCUCUGCCUCUCUAUGGCUAGAAGUGGAUCUAUGUCAUUGAUCUACUGACAGUGACACUUUUCCUUACUUGAAACUUGGGUAUGCAGUGACCUCACCUACUCAGAAUCUGCAAAAGUGGGGAAUUAAUAAUAGAAAAAGGCUUUUGAGUAGCCAAAAAGGAUUUGAUAAAGUUAACAUUCUAAGUUAGCCUGUUCUCUUACCAGAUAGUAUGUCUGCUCAGUUCUUGCUUGAUGUGAAGUUCUGAAGCUUUGUUGUCUGGUAUCUGUUCCCUAACAAGUGCCACUAUAUUAUAUUUUGAGCUAGUGAUAAGGGACUUAUCUUUGUCCCUGUUCCUACAUCCUUCUAGACUCCAACUGGUUUAAUGAAGCGAGAGUACCUCAAGAGAUAUAUACAUGCCAAGAACGGCCUGUAACAGUUUUAUUGCCCCUCCCCUGCCCAACUCAUUGAAGGAAACAGGAGGGAGUGAACCCCAGUCUCUUCUGUUAAAUCCAUUGCAGUCCACUCUUGUGUUCUAAUGAGUAUAUUACAAUUGCAGUCUGAAGUCAUUUCAGAGCUCCUAUCCUUUACUACAAGCUGACUUAGGCGGGACUGCUCCAGCAACUCGAGGCUGAGGCCCAGGGUCUGACUUCUCUCCCCGGUUCCCUACUCCUGUUCUAUUAAGGGUGAGAGGUUGGGAAGUUUGCUCUCUUCUCUGUGAUGAGUUGUUGCUGCCAAUCUGACUCCUAAUGCUAUAGAUUUAUUAAGGCUGGAUGGUGAAAGACCGGACAACGGAGCCAUCCCGAGUUCCUCUGACAGUGAUGAGCCUCCCAGGAGAGGCAGCCACAGCUGAAGCACACACAGCUCCCUUCCGCUGUGGCAGCCCCACAAGCCUGCAAACCCGUGAACCUCGGUUCUCAACUCUGAGGCUGGCCAGACCUCCAACUGCUGUCUUUAUUGCCCCAGUUGGGAACCACUGUUUUAUACAUCACUGUCUUAUGUGUCUGCUGAUGGAGUUUCCUGAUGCCAAACAGAACGUCUCCAGGUCUCCAGGAUGGUUUUCUUCCUGACUGGGUCUCUUUCUCCACCUUCUGCCAAGGCCUGCCUGCCCCAGUCCUUCUCUGGGAGAUGAGUCUAGUGUUCAGGACCAGAUGCAUUGCCAGAGAGUGUCAGGCCUGUGUCGAGCUCCUCUUCUCACAUUGGACCGCAACAGUCUACACGCAUCAGCAAACCCUGAAUGCACUGUGUUAAAUUAAAAAUAAGCUUCUCAGUCAUGAUCUUAA